AUUGAACGCUGGCGGCAUGCCUAACACAUGCAAGUCGAGCGAGCGGCGGACGGGUGAGUAAUGCCUGGGAUUUGCCCACUCGUGGGGGAUAACAGCUGGAAACGACUGCUCAUACCGCAUACGAUUGGAUUGUCCAGGGGGGAGUAGCUAGUUUGUGAGGUAAUGGCUCACCAAGGCGACGAUCCCUAGCUGGUCUGAGCGGAUGAUCAGCCACACGGGCACUGAGACACGGUCCAGACUCCUACGGGAGGCAGCAGUGGGGAAUAUUGCACAAUGGGGGAAACCCUGAUGCAGCCAUGCCGCGUGUGUGAAGAGGGCCUUCGGGUUGUAGAGCACUUUCAGCGAGGAGGCGGUACUCGCAGAAGAAGCACCGGCUAACUCCGUGCCAGCAGCCGCGGUAAUAC
rnacentral:rRNA from 1 species